AUUGAACGCUGGCGGCAUGCCCUACACAUGCAAGUCGAACGGCAGCACGGGAGCAAUCCUGGUGGCGAGUGGCGAACGGGUGAGUAAAGUAUCGGAACGUGCCCAGUCGUGGGGGAUAACGUAGCGAAAGUUACGCUAAUACCGCAUACGAUCUAUGGAUGAAAGCGGGGGAUCGCAAGACCUCGCGCGAAUGGAGCGGCCGAUAUCAGAUUAGGUAGAUGGUGGGGUAAAGGCUCACCAAGCCGACGAUCGGUAGCUGGUCUGAGAGGACGACCAGCCACACUGGGACUGAGACACGGCCCAGACUCCUACGGGAGGCAGCAGUGGGGAAUUUUGGACAAUGGGCGCAAGCCUGAUCCAGCCAUGCCGCGUGCAGGAUGAAGGCCUUCGGGUUGUAAACUGCUUUUGUACGGAACGAAAAGGUUUGACUUAAUACGUUGGACUCAUGACGGUACCGUAAGAAUAAGCACCGGCUAACUACGUGCCAGCCGCCGCAGUAAGAC
rnacentral:rRNA from 1 species